rnacentral:rRNA from 1 species
UACGUAGGGGGCAAGCGUUGUCCGGAAUCAUUGGGCGUAAAGAGCGUGUAGGCGGCCCGAUAAGUCCGCUGUGAAAGUCCAGGGCUCAACCCUGGAAUGCCGGUGGAUACUGUCGGGCUCGAAUCCGGAAGAGGUGAGUGGAAUUCCUGGUGUAGCGGUGAAAUGCGUAGAUAUCUGGAGGAAUACCGGUGGCGAAGGCGGCAUCCUGGACCGAGAUUGACGCUGAUGAGCGAAAGCUAGGGGAGCAAACGGG